rnacentral:rRNA from 1 species
UACGUAGGGUGCGAGCGUUAAUCGGAAUUACUGGGCGUAAAGGGCGCGUAGGCGGCCACCGCAAGUCGGUUGUGAAAUCUCUGGGCUUAACCCAGAAAGGUCAACCGAUACUGCGGGGCUAGAGUGCAGAAGGGGCAACUGGAAUUCUCGGUGUAGCGGUGAAAUGCGUAAAUAUCGAGAGGAACACCUGCGGCGAAGGCGGGUUGCUGGGCUGACACUGACGCUGAAGCGCGAAAGCUAGGGGAGCGAACGGG